AAAAACAUGUCUUUUUGAAAAUAAUUUAAAGUCUAAUCUGCCCACUGAUGAAAAUUAAAGGGCUGCAGUAUUUUGACUGUACAAAGGUAGCAUAAUCAUUAGUUUUUUAAUUGAAAACUUGUAUGAAAGAUUUAAUGAAAUAUAAACUGUCUCAUAUUUAUUGUUAAAAAUUUAUUUUUUAGUUAAAAAGCUAAAAUAUUUUUAAAAGACGAGAAGACCCUAUAGAGUUUUAUAUUUAUUUUUAUUAAAAAAUUAUAUAAAAAUUAAUAUUAAAAUAAAAUAAAAUAUUAUGUUGGGGUGAUAGAAAAAUUAAAUUAACUUUUUUUAAAAUUUAAUACUAAUAAGUAAUUGAAUGAUCCAUAAAUAAUGAUUAAAAGAAAAAAUUACCUUAGGGAUAACAGCGUAAUAUUUUUUUUUAGUACAAAUAAAAAAAAAAGUUUGCGACCUCGAUGUUGGAUUAAGAUAAAAUUUAAAUGCAAAAGUUUAAAAUUUUGAUCUGUUCGAUCAUUAAAAUCUUACAUGAUCU
rnacentral:rRNA from 1 species